AUAUUGGUGCAGUGGCAGUAUCGUAGCCAAUAAGGUUAAUCGGAGGCGUGAUUAUUGCUAGUUGAAAAUGUUUCUCUUUGCUUGGGUUUUCAGCAUUGCAGUCUCUAUUUCUAUCACCAGGUAUUGUUUGAGUCCUCAGGCAUCUGCAAUUUUAUCUAAA
rnacentral:snRNA from 1 species